rnacentral:tRNA from 1 species
GCACUGGCCGGCGGGGCGGGCGGCGCGCGGUCCCGGGAACCGCUGGGGGUGCCUGCGCGUACUCUGGGUAGUACAACGACUGUCCCCAGCGCG